UGAGAUUUAAAGAGCCGCAGUAUCCUGACUGUGCUAAGGUAGCAUAAUCAUUAGUCUUUUAAUUGGAGACUGGUAUGAAUGGUUAAACGAGAAAUCAACUUUUUUUGUUGUAAAGCUUGAAUUUAACUUUUUAGUGAAAAGGCUAAAAUUUUUCAAAAAGACGAGAAGACCCUAUAGAGUUUUAUAACCAAGGGAAUAUUUCUUUCUUAGAUUUUUAUGAGAGGUAUUUACUGUAGUUAUUUUGUUGGGGCGACAUUUAGAUAUAAAAAACUCUUUAUUUUUAAAACUUUUAUGAAAGGUAAAUUGAUCCUUUAAAAAAGAUCAUAAGAAAAAAUUACCUUAGGGAUAACAGCGUAAUCUUUUUUGAGAGUUCUAAUCGACAAAAAGGUUUGCGACCUCGAUGUUGGACUAAAAUUAAGGCAGGGUGCAGCAGUUCUGCUAUAAGGUCUGUUCGACCUAUAAUUUUUUACACGAUCUGAGUUCAGACCGGCGUAAGCCAGGUUG
rnacentral:rRNA from 1 species